UCCUAUGGUCUUGGAGACUGUUUGUUGCGGUACAGGUGUGGACUUGGAGACUGUAUAUUCAGAUUCAAGAACACCUGUGAUGGGUUCAGUCAUUUAUAAUUUUCACACUUAAAAAUCCUACCUUUGCUAUAAGCAAGUCCCUCUUUUUAGGAAGGAGAACUUUACUUCAAGAUUAGAGGUUAAUCCAGUCCAGUUGACAUUAAUUGGUGACAGGAGUGGGAUUGGACACAGAACCAGGCCAUUGAACUCUCGGGUACUAAUAGUAACAGACAAAGUGCUACUUCUUCAGAAUCCACCUCCAUUUGUCUGAGACAAUUGUCUGAAUAGUCAUGAAGCCAACAGUAGAAAAUGGCAUACCUUGCAGUCUGUGAACUGGCAAAAGUGGAUGUCUAUGACUGGGAAAAGUUUUGGGGAUAUCUUUAGUAUGGCCUAAGUCUCUUCAUGAUAUCACAUCUUCCCAAGCAGGCUGAAAAACUUUCACCAUCUAUAUCCAAUUAGCCACCAAAACUAUCUCAGGAUGAGGAGGAGGAGGAGGAGGAGGAGGAA